CCUCAAGGUCAACAAAGAAUCCAGGACAUGAGAGAACCUUUUCUACAGGAUCCUACAUCUUUGGCACUUAUUGAAAGCUACGAGAAGGGAGCCAGAGGCCCACCCAGAUUCCUUCAGUAAGAGCGAGCAGAUCCCUGUGAGAAGCCUACAUGGACCAGAGCUGCACUGGUGUGCACAGGUCCCAGCCAGGGCCCCACCCAGACCCCAGUAGCUUGAGCCCAUAGGCUCCAACUAAAGACCUGCUUUGAAAAGAGCUAUGCAGGCAAGGAAGCAACAGCCAGAGGCCCACCCAGAUAAUACUGCUAAGUGUGUACAGACCCCAGCUAGAAGCCCACUCAGACCAGCGACUUGGGUACAUGAUUCCCAGCCAAAGGCCCUCCUGGACAACAGCUACGCAGGGAGGCAGGCCCCAGCCAGAGGCAGGCCCAGAUACCAUCCCAAGUGUGCACAGGCCCCAGCCAGAACCCUGCCCAGACAACAGGGCACCCUAGGGAUCCAGAAGGCCACCAUUAUGAACCCAGGAAUUGCCACAGUGGUAAACAGCAGAAAAAAGGCCUUUCAGUGGCUUGCUGAGAAAUGAAAACCAC